rnacentral:rRNA from 1 species
UACGUAGGGGGCUAGCGUUGUCCGGAUUUAUUGGGCGUAAAGAGCGUGUAGGCGGCCAGGUAGGUCUGCUGUGAAAACUCGAGGCUCAACCUCGAGACGUCGGCGGAAACCAUCUGGCUAGAGUCCGGAAGAGGAGAGUGGAAUUCCUGGUGUAGCGGUGAAAUGCGCAGAUAUCAGGAAGAACACCCGUGGCGAAGGCGGCUCUCCGGGACGGUACUGACGCUGAGACGCGAAAGCGCGGGGAGCGAACAGG